rnacentral:rRNA from 1 species
UACGAGUGGUCCAAUCGUUAUUCGGAAUCACUGGGCUUACAGAGUUCGUAGGCGGUUCUACAAGUGGGGUGUGAAAGCCCUCGGCUCAACCGAGGAACUGCGCUCCAAACUGUAGAACUAGAGGAAGAUAGAGGUGAGCGGAACUGAUGGUGGAGCGGUGAAAUGCGUUGAUAUCAUCAGGAACACCGGAGGCGAAGGCGGCUCACUGGGUCUUUUCUGACGCUGAGGAACGAAAGCUAGGGUAGCGAACGGG